rnacentral:tRNA from 1 species
GCCGUAUUAGCUCAGUAGGCAGAGCGCCGGAUUUGUAAUCCGGAUGCCCGGGGUUCGAUUCCUCGAUGCGGCACCA